rnacentral:lncRNA from 1 species
AAAACAACAAGCCGACCUGCAAUCCACACCACUUCUGCACAUAGUUUCCAUGCCACAUUUCCCCUUAAAAUCCCUUUAGCCAGCCUGAGACUCUGAGAUGGCUUUUUGAGAUUUCAGUCUGGCCAUCUCCAAAGUUGCUAGCACAUAAAUAAACCUGCUUUCUUUCCAUCAAGUAGUGAGCAGUUGAACCUGAGUUUGGUUACAAUUACCUGGCAUUCAGCACAGGGUGAUAGGCCUCAGGCAUCCAGCCUCUCUGGUUUCAAACAGAUGGAGUAAUUGGCCAAGGCAGCGUCAGGACUUACCUGUACGCACUAUGGGCAGAGUGACAACUGCUCACGAGUGCCAGCUGCUCAUGGAUAGCUGACCUCACAGCUGGGAUUCUAAAGACAUCCAGGAGCUGCUAAGAAUUCUUUAUCUCAGGUAUCCUCCCUUCUUUCUCCAUUGUGGCAUCAGGUGCCUGCAACACUUCACUGGUGCAAGGAAUACUAUGAUUGGGAAGCUGAAGGGCUUCAGGACUGCUUAAGCUAAACUGCAUGAAUAUGAGUCAAAUCUGAAGGGCUCAGAACAUUCAGGACAUACACAAAUGUGAUGCAAAAAAACUUAUUUAUUGAAGACAAUUUUGUUAGAGCUGCUGUUUCCAGGAGUCCUAUGAAAGCUGUGUACAAAAAAGCAUGAUUUCUGGCAGUGAAUAUGAGCAGCUGGUGCUAAGGUUAUUAAAUAAGGUGUAUCCUAGAUGCACUUAACUUUUUGGGAAUGUUGUUACAUGCAAAACAUAUGGGAAAGAUGCCAGUCCACUUAAAAGACAGAAGCACUUUGGGAAGCCAAGGCGGGUGGAUCAUGAGGUCAGAAGUUUGAGACCAGCCUGGCCAAGGUGGUGAUACACCAUCUCUACUAAAAAUACAAAAAUUAGUUGGGCAUGGUGGCGGGUGCCUGUAAUCCCAGCUACUCGGGAGGCUUCGGCAGGAGAAUCGCUUGAACCCAGACGGCGAAGGUUGCAGUGAGCCGAGAUCGUGCCACAGCACUCCAGCCUGGGCGACAGAGCAAGACUUCGUCUCAAAAAAAAAAAAGGAGCUUGACCAAGUUUGUCGAUUUACAACAUUACACCACGGUGUGAGUGGUUUCUGCACCCAGGUGCCUCUCUUAUUUCCCACAGAGGCAAACCCUAAUCCAGUGUCCUGAAGAGCUCUAUUUGCAGUGUGAAACCUGCCCAUACAACUCAGAAUCUUAGGUUCUCUGCCGUAUACAACCCUUUAGAGACCAGUGGGAUCAAAAGAGAGAAGAAUUUUUAGGGCAUGCAAUCUGGAGUGAAUAUCUGAAUUACUGGUAAGUGAUUAUCUGCUCUGCCUGUUACAGAACGUGGUAAAUUCUGCUCUUCACUUUUCACAGCAAUGUUACACUUAUUUAAGGGUGUUAGUCAGUAGGCCUGGCCUAGGUCUAAUACAAAUAGUAAGAGCUGGAGCAAGAGAAAAGAAAAAAAAAAAAACACACUUGCAGAUGAUGAUAUGAGCUAAAAUUUGAACAUUUUGUUUAAGAUUUUCAUGGUGGUGAUUUCUUGCUGCACUUAAUUUUUUGUUUAUAUAUUUUUGUUUGGGAUGUGUAAUCAAGUUUAAUUGUAUUGUAUUUAUUAUAGGAAGAUGCUGCAACCCAAUUAGAUAGAUUCUCUUAUCUUAACUUCUAAAAAUAUAUAGCUGCAAUCUGGUACAAUAUAACCUGAACUCAGUACAGAAACCAAGGAUGAAGUAUAUUCUGAUGUAAAAUUCAAGGAAGGAUUAGACAGAGAAGUGAAAAUGUAUAUAUUGAAUUAUCACAAUAUCUGGAUGGAUGUGGUGAUAACUAUGUCUCUCUAAGGUGAAAUCUUCUUCCUGUGCACUUGAUCUCCUUUCAUUCUUGCAUUACUAAUCAUCCUUUCUCUUUUCUCAUUUACAAAAACAUAAAAUUAUUAUGUCUCUAGAAUUAAAAAUAAAGUCUCCUCAGUCCACCUUUCUCAACUAUUAAACUUUAUUUUUAAUUUUCUCUUUACAAGGAAAAAAAUAUUCCAGAAUACAUUUUAUUCUCUGUUUCUAAUUCUUCUUGUCUAUUUUCUUCUAUGUACUUCAGUUUGCUUGUCACCACCCUCACUUACUGAAUCUUCUUGUAAAUUAAUCAAUGAUCCUAUCGAUGUUUCUUUUCUUUCCUGAUAUAUCAGCAUGAAUUACUAAAGCAGAAUAUGCUCACCUACUUGAAAUACUUUUUUUAACUUAGAUCUCAGAACCUAUUUUUUUCUGAUUUUUCUUUUACAUCACUAGUAGUCUUUUCUUACUAGUUGUUCUAGCAUUUUUUUUUUUUUUUUUUGCGAUGGAGUCUCACUCUGUCACCCAGGCUGGAGUUCAGUGGCAUGAUCUCAGCUCACUGUAACCUCUGCCUCCCUAGUUCAAGCGAUUCUCCUGUCUCAGCCUCUUGAGUAGCUGGGAUUUCAGGCGCCCACCACCGUGCCCAGCUAAUUUUUGUAUUUUUAAUAGAGACAGAGUUUCACCAUGUUGGCCAGCUGGUCUUGAACUCCUGACCUCAGGUGAUCCACCUGCCUCGGCCUCCCAAAGUGCUGGGAUUACAGGUGUGAGCCACCGUGCCCGACCUCUUCCAGUAUUUCUAAGCAUUGGAGAGUCACAGCACUAAAUCCUCACACCUCUUGUCCAUCAUUUGCUAACUAAGUGUGUUCUAAACCAGUCUUAUGACUUUUAAACACCACCUAUAAACUGACAAAGUAUUACUUCCAAUGAAGUAUUUUUCCUUGUAUAUCCACCAUGUAAAUUUCUUGUCUGAUAAUUCCUAAAUCUGUCUCAUAUCCGAGUCUGGUUCUAAUGGUUGCUUUUUGUAUCUUCAGACAAAUUAUUUUCCUGAAUUUAACUGUGCCUCGUAAUUUUUGUUGUUGUUGAAACUAGACACAAUGUGUCAGAUGAUAGAAAAUGAGGUAUAUGGCCCUUUAAUAUGAGGUUCAUGUUAAUCUGGCUAGUAGUUGGGAAGUGUUUAAUUUUUGCUAUAGCUCUAAGGGCUAGAGCUAGUAUUCUUGUCCCCUCCCCACUUUGUUCUCUUUUGGCUUCCUGAAGCAUUCCCCCUUAAAUAGAAUCUGUGCACUACAAUUCUUUUAGCUGUAAUCCACUGUCAUUAUACUGAAUACUAGAGUUCUGUUAAUAUUAUGGUAAGGUAUCAGGGAGGUGACACAUUCUGUAGUUCAAUAAUUAGGUCUUUUAGUUGGCCUGUGUCCCUGGCCUGUGACCUUUAUAACCAUUUCUUAGCAUUCCCCUUCUCCUCAGGUGAGACAGGAAAGGCACAGGGAGCUGGUGUGGAAUAAAUUCCCUUCCCUCAGGUGGAAUGAGUCUCUGGUAAAGCAUUUUUCCCUAAAGAGUAAGCCUUUUUUAUGGAGAACAUUCUGGGCAUGUACCAUUAUGGUACUUUUCUUCUCUCUCUGCCCAAACCACUGGGAGAUAUUUCUUGUCUCUUUCAGUGAGAAACUGUGUGUUCCUGGAGGUAAACUCAUCAAAUUCUGUUGACCCAUGUAAGAUUUUAACCCCGAAUUUCUCUUUCUCACCAUAGGCCACACAAGCCUCCAUUAAUUCAUCAAAAUCACCAUUUAAAUGUUUCUUUCAAUGUUUGGCUUUGUUGGUUUCCAUUCCAUGUAAUCACAUCUUGGCUAUAACUUUCUGGAUUCAUCUGUCUGUCCAGAUGUUGGGGUGACAGUUUGCCCUGUGAUCUCAAUUCUCUGAUAAAACCAAUAAGAUUAUUGAUUUUCAGUUUGUUUGGCUUUUUCCUGUUGUACGGCUAGAGUGACAGCCUCCAAGCUGAGGAGGAGCUAAAACUAGAAGUGGUAUAUGAAAAAUUUAUUCAACAUCUCCAUUUAAAUUCUACAUGACUUCUCAAAUUGAAUAUAUAUAAACAAAGACUGAUCUCUACCCACUAUCUUUCUUUCUCUACUGCUUUUAGUCUCAUAAAUAAAUGGCAACUCCAUCCUUAUAUAUACUCAUACAUUAAAUCUUGGAGUCAUUUCAUAAAUCUUUCUGUCAUAACACAUAUACAUGGUAUUAGAAACCCUUGUUGAUUUUAUUACCUCCUUUACUACCUUCAUCACCACCGAGUCUAAGGAUGCAUCGUGACAACACGGAUUAUUGCAAAGAGCCUCCAAAUGGGCCUAUCUGCUUCUGAUACAGGAAGGGGCAGGGAAGUGCUGGGUAGAGAAGGGUGGGGUCCCUGGCGAGGGAUCCACCCUCGGGCUUGUGCCCACGGACCUAAGUGAGAACAGGCAUUUAUGUUUUCACACCCAAAUGCUGCAUUUUCCAAGGCCACUCUGGCCCCCCACCCCCCACCCCCCCAUCCAGUGCCCAUAAAAACCUGAGAUGUAGCAAGCACACACAAAACCAGCUGGACGUUGAGAGGAGCAGAACACAUCGAAAGACAUCAACAGGCAAUUGACGGCGGAGCUAUGCAGACGCUGAGGGAAAUUCAGCUGGAGGCGGUCAGAAGAGAGUCUGGUCACAAGGUGGCCUGACUCCAGGGAAAGACCACCUUCCCACUCCACCCCUUUCUGGCUCCCUAGCCAUCUCAUUGGGAGCCACCUCCACUACCUAAUGAAAUCUUGCACCCAUACUCCAGGGCCACAUGUGAUCGACUUUUCCAGCAUACUAGGGCAAGAACCCAGGAUACAGAAAGCCCUCUGUCCUUGCGAUAAGGCAGAGGGUCUUAUUGAGCCAACACAAGUAGGCUGCAGACAGCAAAGCUGAAAGAACACGCUGUAACACAUGCCCACUGGGGCCUCAGGAGCUGUAAACACUCAACCCUAGAUGCUGCCGAGGGGUCGGAGCCCAAAAACGCUUCCCAUGACCUGCCCAUCUGCAUGCUCCCCCUAGGAGUUUGAGCAGCAGGGCAGUGAAGCAGUGAGUCACAACCCUGUCCCAUGCCCUGGGAGGGCGAUAAGGGUGUGUACUCCAAGAAUAGCACAGAUGACAUAUGGUUGGAAUGGAGUGUCAUGAUUGUAUGAUAGAAGUAGUGGGUAGAUAUUUACAUAAUACUGGGCUACCCACUACUUCUGUCAUAUAAUCAUGACACUCCAUUCCAGCCAUAUGUCAUCUGUGCUAUUCUUGGAGUACACACUCAUGCACACAACUCCUUUGAGGCCUUUCUAUUUAUUUGUCUCUAUGUCCUAUAUUGCCUCAGAUGCUUGUAUUCUUGGCUCUUACACUGUAUAUAAAUAAUAAUGUCUCCCUGAGACAUUCUUUGACCAAAUAUUUAAAACCACAGCCCUUUGGAAAUCCGAGGUGGGUGGAUCAUCUGAGGUCAGGAGUUGGAGACAAGCCAGGCCAACAUUGUGAAACCCCAUCUGUACUAAAAAUACAACAAUUAGCCAGGCAUGGUGGUGUGCAGCUGUAAUCCCAGCUACUCGGGAGGCCAAGGCAGGAGAAUCGCCUGAACCGGCGGGGGACGGAGGUUGCAGUGAGUCAAGAUUGUGCCACUGCACUCCAGCCUGGGCAACAGAGAGACAUUAUGUCUCAAAAAAAUAAAAAAUAAAAAAAGUAAAACCACAGACCCUUCAGCUUUAUUUUUGCUCACAGCACCUGUCACAGUCUUGAAUUGUAUGUGUUUAUUGUUGUAUUGUCUGUCUCCACACAAUUGAAUGUAAGAAUCCUAAAAGCGGUUAUAUUUCCCUAUUUUGUAAACAAAUACAUUGACAAUACCUUGAAAACUGAGAUGAAGGUAGAACUUAAUAUAUAUUUAUUUAAUAAAUAAUUAAAUUGUACUUUUACUCAAAGAAGAACAUUCAGACACUAUAAAAUUCUAGCUGUAUUCUAUUUGUUCUAGAAUGAUAAAGGCAUACAGAUCCUUUCAGUUAUAUUUAUAGAUUUUUUAAUAUUAAAAAAAUCUUGUUAAAUUUAGUGUGAAUUUCUGAUCUUAUAUGUUAUUAAAGGAGAAUAGAAUAAUGAUGAAUAAAGCCUAAAUGGAAUGAAA